GGCUCCCUGCACACCACAUAUAGGGAGUCGGACCUGCCCGGUGAAAGACUUUAACGGCCGCGGUACUCUGACCGUGCAAAGGUAGCAUAAUCACUUGCCUUAUAAUUGAAGGCUGGUAUGAAUGGUUUGACGAGAGUGCUCCUGUCUCCUCCUUGUUUUAUAGAAGUUAACCUUCAGGUGAAGAGGCCUGUUUUAGAUUGAAGGACGAGAAGACCCUGUCGAGCUUUAAGAGAAUGAAGGAGAGCUCUAUGCUAUCAAAUAAAAAACCUUCCCGAUCUUUUGGUUGGGGCGACUAGGGAACAAGCAAAGCUUCCCUUACUUUAAAAACUCAUUUGUUAGGAUCCAGCACCAAAAUGCUGAUUAAAAGAAUUAGUUACCGCAGGGAUAACAGCAUAAUCCUUCUUGAGAGACCUAAUCGAAAGAAGGGGUUGUGACCUCGAUGUUGGACUAGGGUAUCCCGAGGGUGCAGAAGCCUUCAAAGGUCGGUCUGUUCGACCGUUAAAACCCUACG
rnacentral:rRNA from 1 species